rnacentral:ncRNA from 2 species
GCUAGCGUGGCCGGCGAUGGUCCUUCCGCGAGGAAGGUGAAAAGGGAAUCCGGUGCGCGAACGCUCUGCAUUGAGCGAUCUCAAUCCCGGUGCUGCCCCCGCAACUGUAAGCGACGAGCCCGCGCCUCGGCCACUGGGAUUCCUCUAAGGACUCCUGGGAAGGCGGCGACAAGGGCAGCGACUCGCGAGCCAGGAGACCUGCCAUCGCGAAUUGUGCUUU